rnacentral:lncRNA from 1 species
AUGGGGCGGGAGAAACAGCAGCCGCCAGGCGCCGCGGCAGGUGAACUUGUCCACAAGUCAGCCCCGGACACACACCAGUCCCUGCCCAGAAGGGGCCCCGGGGCCCCGGGGCCGGCCGGGAGCGGCUGGGAGGGCGAGGCGAGGCGCGGCUGGGGCUGCCGCGGGCGGGCGCGGGCGCGGGGGCUGGAGCUGCGGCCGGCGCCGAACGCCCCCCGCUCCCCCGGGCCGCCGCGCUCCCAGGGCGCGCGCAUCCUCCAGACCUGCCCAGGCCCGCGGGGGGCGGCGGGGGAGGGGAAGGGACCCGCCUGUCCCCCGGCGGCCUCAGGCCGGCGCCCCGACCGCCCGGCGUCUCCCGCUGCAGCCUGCAGCCCGCCCGGCGCGCCCCCGCCCCGGCCCCCGGAGGGCAGGUACCUCGGAGCCCCGGCCCCCAGGAGCCUCCCGGCCGCGGUCGGAGCGUCCCUCCGGCUCCCUCCUCCGACGUCAGCGUCAGCAGAAGGCGAGGGAAGGGGCGGGGGAGCGCAGGCACCGGCCCUUCCUGCGGCGCCCGCCGCCCGCCGGAAUAGGAGCCCGCGGAGCCCGUGCGCGCCGCAGCGCAGCGCCGCGGCCGGGGGGAGCGGGCGGCCUCGCCUCCCCGCAGACGCCGCCCCCCACCCCCCGCAUCCUCGGAGACGCCCGGGGCGGGGACCCCUCCCGCAGGACCCCGGCUCCCGGAGGAGCGAGGGCGCGAAGGCCUCACCUUUGGGGGGGCAGGUCUGGGAUGGGGGGAGGGAGCCUCGCUCUGUCUGUCCUCCCUGGGGACUCUCCUCGGCCCCCAUCUCCUGGGGCAGCCCCCGCUCCGACCCGCCGCCCAGGGUGACCCCGCCCCUGCUCUCCCGCAGGUGUUCCACGUGGCCAGAGCGCGUGCGUCACAAUGACCUGGCCGACAGGUGGGAGCCGCGGCGAACGCCCCACGGGUCCCUCCGUGCUGAGUGCGGAGCGCUGAGCGUCCUGCUUGCCUGCACGUUAGGAUUUGUGCGGCUUCAGGAGACUGGAGACUUCAUGACUUCAAUGCUGAGAAAAGUUACAGGGGCCUGUCAUCUGGAAGUCAACUUUGAACUUCAAGGAGAAAGGAUGUGUGGGGAAAACACAACUCUGUGUGUGUGUUUUAUUCCCAUACAAUCAUAUAUCUUUUAA